ensembl:misc_RNA Y_RNA Y RNA
GGCUGGUCUGAAGGUAGUGAGUUAUCUCACUUGAUUGUUCACAGUCAGUUACAGAUUGAACUCCUUGUUCUACUACUUUCCCCCCUCCUCACUACUGCACUUGACUAGUCUUAA